rnacentral:rRNA from 1 species
AUUGAACGCUGGCGGAAUGCUUUACACAUGCAAGUCGAACGGCAGCACGGGGGCAGCCCUGGCGGCGAGUGGCGAACGGGUGAGUAAUACAUCGGAACGUGCCCGGUCGUGGGGGAUAACGUAGCGAAAGUUACGCUAAUACCGCAUACGAUCUGAGGAUGAAAGCGGGGGACCUUCGGGCCUCGCGCGAUCGGAGCGGCCGAUGUCAGAUUAGGUAGUUGGUGGGGUAAAGGCCUACCAAGCCGACGAUCUGUAGCUGGUCUGAGAGGACGACCAGCCACACUGGGACUGAGACACGGCCCAGACUCCUACGGGAGGCAGCAGUGGGGAAUUUUGGACAAUGGGCGCAAGCCUGAUCCAGCCAUUCCGCGUGCAGGACGAAGGCCUUCGGGUUGUAAACUGCUUUUGUACGGAACGAAAAGGCUCUGGCUAAUACCUGGGGCUCAUGACGGUACCGUAAGAAUAAGCACCGGCUAACUACGUG